rnacentral:rRNA from 1 species
UACGAAGGGUGCAAGCGUUACUCGGAAUUACUGGGCGUAAAGCGUGCGUAGACGGUUUCGUAAGUCGGGUGUGAAAGCCCCGGGCUCAACCUGGGAAUUGCAUUCGAGACUGCGUAGCUAGGGUGCGGAAGAGGGAAGCGGAAUUUCCGGUGUAGCGGUGAAAUGCGUAGAUAUCGGAAGGAACAUCAGUGGCGAAAGCGGCUUCCUGGUCCAGCACCGACGUUCAGGCACGAAAGCGUGGGGAGCAAACAGG